rnacentral:misc_RNA from 1 species
UCCGAUUUACACCGGCGGUCUCCUAUGAGUUCCCGACAUUACUCGCUGGCAACAUAGGACGAGGGUUGCGCUCGUUGGCGGACUUAACCGUACACCUCACGGCACGAGCUGACGACAGCCAUGCAACAAGUGUCUUCAUGUCCCCUUUUGGGGGAGGCAUCUAUCUCUAGAUGUUGCAAUCGAUGUCAAAUCUGGGUAAGGUUCUUCGGUUAGUAUCGAAUUAAUCCACAUGCUCCACCGCUUGUGCGGGUCCCCGUCAAUUCAUUUGAGUUUUAAUCUUGCGACCGUACUCCCCAGGCGGGAUGCUUAAUGCGUUAGCUGCGCCACUGACAGGCAAGCCUGCCAACGGCUAGCAUCCAUCGUUUACAGCGUGGACUAC